AGGACGAACGCUGGCGGCGUGCUUAACACAUGCAAGUGGAGCGACGAACCAGGGCUUGCCCUGGGGCAGAGCCGCGAACGGGUGAGUAACACGUGGGUUACCUGCCUUGAUGACCGGGACAACCCGAGGAAACUCGGGCUAAUACCGGAUGUGCCCGCAAGGGGAAAGGAAGCUUCGGCCUCCGCAUCGAGAUGGGCCCGCGGCCCAUUAGCUUGUUGGUGAGGUAACGGCUCACCAAGGCUUCGAUGGGUAGCUGGUCUGAGAGGACGAUCAGCCACACUGGGACUGAGACACGGCCCAGACUCCUACGGGAGGCAGCAGUGGGGAAUCUUGCGCAAUGCGCGAAAGCGUGACGCAGCAACGCCGCGUGGGGGAAGAAGGCUUUCGGGUUGUAAACCCCUUUCAGUUGGGACGAAGCUUCUCCGGUGAAUAGCCGGACGGAGUGACGGUACCUUCACAAGAAGCACCGGCUAACUACGUGCCAGCAGCCGC
rnacentral:rRNA from 1 species